rnacentral:rRNA from 1 species
UACAGAGGUCUCAAGCGUUGUUCGGAUUCAUUGGGCGUAAAGGGUGCGUAGGUGGCGCCAUAAGUCAGGUGUGAAAUCUCGGGGCUCAACCUCGAAACUGCACUUGAUACUGUGGUGCUUGAGUACUGGAGAGGAGAUUGGAAUUUACGGUGUAGCAGUGAAAUGCGUAGAUAUCUGGAGGAACACCGGUGGCGAAGGCGGCAUCCUGGACCACGACUGACACUGAAAAGCGAAAGCCAGGGGAGCAAACGGG